rnacentral:rRNA from 1 species
GACGAACGCUGGCGGCGUGCCUAACACAUGCAAGUCGAACGGGUGAGAGGAGCUUGCUCCUCGAUCUAGUGGCGAACGGGUGAGUAACGCGUGAGAAACCUGCCUUUCAGUGGGGGACAACAGUUGGAAACGACUGCUAAUACCGCAUGAUGUCGUAAGACCAAAGAUUUAUCGCCCAGGGAUGAGCCCGCGUAAGAUUAGGUAGUUGGUGAGGUAAAGGCUCACCAAGCCGACGAUCUUUAGCUGGUCUGAGAGGAUGAUCAGCCACACUGGGACUGAGACACGGCCCAG